rnacentral:lncRNA from 1 species
GAAGGAGUAUUACGGAAGAAAAAAUAUUAUUUUUACAGAAAACUUGUAAAUUACACUCAACUCCACAACUAUAUAAACAUUUUCAAGAAAAAGAAAAAGUAAAACCAAACAAAAACAAGCACAAGAAAAAAAAAGUGAAUGAUCAUUAGUCCUUCAUCGAGGACCAGAGAGCUCAAUGGCUUCCACCACAAGUGACGAUUCCUGGAUAUAAUCAGAGUAAUAUCUUACACGCGGCGAUGAACUCACCAUCCCCGACGGCAACGGAGGAGGCAGCGACUUCGCCCCACCGCUCUGCGACGCUUCCCAUCUAUCAGCCAAGCCAUCGCCUUCAAGCAUUUUCAUAACUUCGGACAUUUUAGGUCGAUUAGAUGGAUUGAACUGAGUGCAAAGAAGAGCAACUUGAACGAUUUCUUCGAGCUCCACUCUAUCGUACUUGUCGUUCAGAUCUUUGUCUAUUAACUGUUUUAGUUUCCCUUCUUGAUGCAGCUUCUUCACCUGCCAUGUUAAACAAGUCACAUUUCUCAGGCCAAUAAACCAAAACCGAACCAAACCAAAUUAAAAUGUAGUCUUUCUUCGAUAUUGACUAGCAACCCAAUCUAGACCGAACCAAAUUUUCAAGAUUAUGUUAAUGAACUGGAACCAAAGCCUAUCCUAAAACAGAAAUUAAAUCUAAACCGAAUCCAAAUCAUGGUUUAGUCUUCUUCAGCUUACAAUCCCAAGUAAACCGAAAUCAAAUCAAAGAUUACCAAACAAAUAACGGCAUUAAGUAGUUUAAAUCAACUUAUAUUAAUUGAAACCAAGCACAAACGCACAACCGAAAUUUAACCAAUCUCGCGGGUUAAUUCUAGACCGGUUCUGAAUCCCAAUCAUGGUUAAUUUCGAUUUAUUAUAUUUGGAGUAAAGAUGAAAAUAAAAAGAUGUGAAAUACUAAAAUAUUCGAAAUGAUUAGUUUUCAAAUUUUGGUGCAUUGGUUGUUUAAUUGGAGGAGAGUUUAUUUUACUUUAUUAAUAUAGAUAGAAAAUGAUUUAAUAAAAAAAUGUAUAAGCUGUUUCAAAUUUUGAUACCUUUAUUAUAUAUUGAACAGCCAAUUAAAUUCUAGAUUUUUUAUGAUAAGUUAAAUUAUAUUUUAGUUAUAUUUAAAAAUACUUUAGUAUUUUUUAACACAAUGAUUUUUAGUCUCCAAAUUUUUAGCAUAAACAAUUACAAUAUAUUCCAUCCGUUCCUAAAAAAAUCCAUGAUUUAGAAUUUUCACAUUUUUUAAUAAAACAUAUUAAAAUUUAGCUAUAAAUGCACAAUUUUUUGUAAUUUUAUAUUUCCUAUAUUUUGAAACCAAUAAGAUUUUAAGAAAUGCAAUUAAUUUUCUUAAACUUCACAAUUUCUCAUUAUUAGUUGACAAAAAUUGCAUUAUUUAUCUUUUUGAAAUAAAAAUUUUCUUUAGAAUAUAGAUUAUUUAGGAACGGAAGGAAUAUUACGGGAGAAAAAAUAUUAUUUUUACAGAAAAGUUGUAAAUUACACUACUCCACAACUAUAUAAACAUUUUUAAGAAAAAGAACAAGUAAAACCAAACAAAAACAAACCCAAGAAAAAAAAAAGUGAAUGAUCAUUGGUCUUCAUCGAGGACCAGAGAGCUCAAUGGCUUCCACCACAAGGGACGAUUCCUGGAUAUAAUCAGAGUAAUAUCUUACACGCGGCGAUGAACUCACCAUCCCCGACGGCAACGGAGGAGGCAGCGACUUUGCCCCACCGCUCUGCGACGCUUCCCAUCUAUCGGCCAAGCCGUCGCCUUCAAGCAUUUUCAUAACUUCGGACAUUUUAGGUCGAUUAGAUGGAUUAAACUGAGUGCAAAGAAGAGCAACUUGAACGAUUUCUUCGAGCUCCACUGUAUCGUACUUGUCGUUAAGAUCUUUGUCUAUUAACUGUUUUAGUUUCCCUUCUUGAUG